UGAAAAUUAACAUAUGUGAUAUGUUUAAUUUAUGUUUAGAUCUGAAAUUAGAAUGAUUAAAAGUUCACAUCAAAUUGAUAUAAGGUUGUUCUGAUAUAGAGUUUACCCCUUAUAUUGUAAAGGUUGUCCUAGUUUGAUACGAAUCAGUUUUUAAAAAGGUAUUUUUCAAAUAUUUUGAUUAUUAUUUCAGAUCUGAUUUUAUACAUAUUUGAUAUGUGUAAAUUUAGUUUUAGAUCUAAAAUUUGAUGUAUAUGUGAUACAUAUUUAAUUUAGAUAUGAAACU
rnacentral:lncRNA from 1 species